CCUACGGGAGGCAGCAGUGAGGAAUAUUGGUCAAUGGGCGUAAGCCUGAACCAGCCAAGUCGCGUGAGGGAUGAAGGUUCUAUGGAUCGUAAACCUCUUUUAUAAGGGAAUAAAGUGCGGGACGUGUCCCGUUUUGUAUGUACCUUAUGAAUAAGGAUCGGCUAACUCCGUGCCAGCAGCCGCGGUAAUACGGAGGAUCCGAGCGUUAUCCGGAUUUAUUGGGUUUAAAGGGUGCGUAGGCGGACUUUUAAGUCAGCGGUGAAAGUCUGUGGCUCAACCAUAGAAUUGCCGUUUCAACUGGGAGGCUUGAGAUGUCGAGAGGUAUGCGGAAUGCGCAGUGUAGCGGUGAAAUGCUUAGAUAUUGCGCAGAACUCCGAGUGCGAAGGCAGCAUACCGGCGGCGAUCUGACGCUGAGGCACGAAAGCGUGGGUAUCGAACAGGAUUAGAUACCCGAGUAGUC
rnacentral:rRNA from 1 species